AUUGAACGCUGGCGGCAGGCCUAACACAUGCAAGUCGAGCGGAUGAAGGGAGCUUGCUCCUGGAUUCAGCGGCGGACGGGUGAGUAAUGCCUAGGAAUCUGCCUGGUAGUGGGGGAUAACGUCCGGAAACGGGCGCUAAUACCGCAUACGUCCUGAGGGAGAAAGUGGGGGAUCUUCGGACCUCACGCUAUCAGAUGAGCCUAGGUCGGAUUAGCUAGUUGGUGGGGUAAAGGCCUACCAAGGCGACGAUCCGUGACUGGUCUGAGAGGAUGAUCAGUCACACUGGAACUGAGACACGGUCCAGACUCCUACGGGAGGCAGCAGUGGGGAAUAUUGGACAAUGGGCGAAAGCCUGAUCCAGCCAUGCCGCGUGUGUGAAGAAGGUCUUCGGAUUGUAAAGCACUUUAAGUUGGGAGGAAGGGCAGUAAGUUAAUACCUUGCUGUUUUGACGUUACCAAUAGAAUAAGCACCGGCUAACUUCGUG
rnacentral:rRNA from 1 species